rnacentral:rRNA from 1 species
CCGAACCGACUAAUGUUGAAAAAUUAGCGGAUGACCUGUGGCUGGGGGUGAAAGGCCAAUCAAACCGGGAGAUAGCUGGUUCUCCCCGAAAGCUAUUUAGGUAGCGCCUCGUGAAUUCAUCUCCGGGGGUAGAGCACUGUUUCGGCUAGGGGGCCAUCCCGGCUUACCAACCCGAUGCAAACUGCGAAUACCGGAGAAUGUUAUCACGGGAGACACACGGCGGGUGCUAACGUCCGUCGUGAAGAGGGAAACAACCCAGACCGCCAGCUAAGGUCCCAAAGUCAUGGUUAAGUGGGAAACGAUGUGGGAAGGCCCAGACAGCCAGGAUGUUGGCUUAGAAGCAGCCAUCAUUUAAAGAAAGCGUAAUAGCUCACUGGUCGAGUCGGCCUGCGCGGAAGAUGUAACGGGGCUAAACCAUGCACCGAAGCUGCGGCAGCGACACUGUGUGUUGUUGGGUAGGGGAGCGUUCUGUAAGCCUGUGAAGGUGUGUCGUGAGGCAUGCUGGAGGUAUCAGAAGUGCGAAUGCUGACAUAAGUAACGAUAAAGCGGGUGAAAAGCCCGCUCGCCGGAAGACCAAGGGUUCCUGUCCAACGUUAAUCGGGGCAGGGUGAGUCGACCCCUAAGGCGAGGCCGAAAGGCGUAGUCGAUGGGAAACGGGUUAAUAUUCCCGUACUUGGUGUUACUGCGAAGGGGGGACGGAGAAGGCUAUGUUGGCCGGGCGACGGUUGUCCCGGUUUAAGCGUGUAGGUGUGUGUUCCAGGUAAAUCCGGUUCACUUUAACACUGAGGCGUGA